UGUAACAAUGUUAUAUUUUUCUUUAUGCAAGACAUAAACUUUUGUGAUUUCUGGUUAUGUAGAAUUUAUUUUUACCGAAUGUAUUGUGACCCUUUUUUGGGGUGCACUUUAUACAAUAUCUGGAAGUCUAUAUAAUUCGUUGGGCGCCAGCCACGUUCGCGUGGUGAUUUGGGAAAAAGGGAAAUUGGGGUUUUUAUACAAUAGUGGGGACUCGCGGCUCGACCUCGGUCGAAACUCGCGGGUGGGGAAUCUCGGGGUGGAAGGUUCUAAGGAGGUUCGCACGUUACGCUGUCGAGAAGGGGUCAAAAUAGGGGGAAUCUUUAAGGGUAGGAGAAAAGGAUGGUACGUAAUAUCGCGAUUGGGUAAACUUUACUUUACCGGACCCAAAAUUUUGGACCUUUUUUUUUUUGAUUGAUAGGUUUUUUUGCGUAGAAUCUGAAAAUGCAAGUCUCGACUUUAGAAAUUCAGUGGUUAAAAAGUUAUAAGCGUGUAAAGUUUGACAUUUUUAGCGGAUUUGCUACGUUACUGUGACGCCAUAUUGCCUUAUAUGUAUAACCUGAUUAGUUCUCACAUGGGCAGUACAGUAUGUUUGUAAAAUAUAUAUAAACCUAACUAACUCAGACAGUAUCAAAUGUACGGUUUGACUGUACCCGCCAAAGUAGUCGGCACCCACAUGAAUCUGCCUGCAGCUAGCGACACCGUUCAUUGGACAAGAAGUCAAUAUGGCGUCACAGUAACGUAGCAAAUGCGCUAAACAUAUCAAACUUUACAUGCUUAUAACUUUUGAACCAUUGGAUUCCUAAAGUUGAGACUUGCAUUUUUGGAUUUCCCGCAUCAAAAACUAUAGAUUCAAAAAAAAAAAGUCCAAAAUUUUGGGUCCGGUAAAGUAAAGUUCACCCUCGCGAUUUACAAUUGCGCGGACGUAGAAGGUGGUCGUUGCCGGACUCAGAAUUCACAAUUAUAAGAAUCUUAGGGACUCACCACCGUUGCAGCACACUCGUACACACACACUUAACCGGAUCCUACUCAAUCUCUUUCCCAAUACGCUUCUCUUAAAUCUCACAAAAUCGCUCUUUACAAUACUCGCUUUCGUACGCUAAAUGCCCAUUGCUCGCUCGUCGCCGUUGCGGCGACGGCGAGUCCUUCGCAAGGACUUUUAGGGAGGGGAUAUAGAUCGGGGAUUGGUUCUUCUUCUAUGUUGGGCGCUAAUUGGGCAAGGGAUCUAUCGAUUGGGGAUUGGCCAGUAAUUGGGAUCGAUAGGACUGACGGAGAUUCGGCGAUGCUGGCUGCGGGCUGAGGGUCCCCCCAAAAUCUGCAUUUUACGACAUUUUUUUGAAUUUUUGAUUUUUCACGCCUAAGAUUUACAACCAAAAAAUCUGAAAAAAUUCACAGUCAUAAAUAAGCAUGUCUAGAAUAUUUUAGAAUUUUUUCAGAUUUUUUGUAUAAUGUUAAAUAGGAGAAAUAUGGCAAAAACGGUAAUAUCUAUCUUACCCUAUAACAACCCUCCCGGUUGAGAUACAGGGUUGAAACUUGGUGUACCAUGGUUUUUUGGGAUAAGCUAUCGAAUGGUGCAUUGCUAAGUAUAAUCGGCUCAAGGGCACUUUUAACCAUCUUAUCCUACUACAUAUACCCUUUCUAAACAUAUUUCUUUCUUCUUCUUUUUUCUUUUUUUUAUACCAAUAAAGGAAAAGUUUUGCACAUAGAAAUUAUUUUAUGAUUACCCAUAAAGUUUUGUCCAAACAAAAUCGAAAUAAUACACCAGAAAGAAGAAAGAUGAACGAUUUUUAACUCUAUUUAUAAUUUACACAGCCUCCACAAGCACAUAUGUAUUUGAAAUUUUUUCACAAAGACUGAAAAACGUAUUUCUAAUGGUCGUUUAUGAUGUGAAGCUGGAACGAUUAAAUGCAUCUACGUCAUGUCUUCCGAAUUAGAGUUUAAUUAUUAAAUGACAUUGUUAAACGUUUUUUACACCCUUCAUAAACAUUUAUAAUUUAUAUAUUCUGAUUCAGUUACUUUGUAACAGUUUUAAAUUCAUUACGCAGAUAUUUAAAUACCUUUUCUCAUCGCAAUAAAAUCUUAUUCUUUAAUUAUAAAAACUUUUGUUGGUUACGUGAAAAAUCGUAGAGCAAUGGAUAUAACGACAAAUUUCGAGAUUCCAACGAUAAGAAUACAUUAUUUCUAUUUUGCAGAAUCUAUCGUACAAAUUGAUCCUAAUAUAUAAAUAAAUAAAUUAUUAAAGAGGGGGGUGGGAUUCAGUUCAUUUGAUCAGUUAUUUGUAUGCGAUAUUAUGUAAAGUAACACAAAUUAGAUAAGAAAUAAAUAGGAAGUAAUAAAAAGAAAAUUAUCGUAAAAUUGUACUUUAAUUAACAGUCAUACUGAUCCAGGUGGUGGGGUGUUUUAGUGUAAUUUUAAAGUCAACGACGACGAUGAUACUGGUCUCAAAGGCGGUACUUUUAUUUGAGUAACAUCUUUCCGUAACCCAAGUCUCGUUUAUUUCAAGUUUUAUAUAGACUAUCCAAAUAUAAAUCGUUAAACUAGUAAGCCUAAUAAAGUUAUCAUUAAUUCAAGAACAAUAAAUUAUUCAUUAAGCAGAAAGGAGUACAAAAGGAUCAAGAUCAUGUAUGAUAUGUGUGUCGAUUAAUGCACUCGAACCAGAGCCAGAAGCGCUGAUGGGAAAGUUAUCUGGUUAUGCGAUUACCACCGCAAUACAACAACUAAAUUCGACCAGAUGCCGAAAGGAAAUGGAGGAAUACCGUGAUGCAGUGAAUCAUCGUGUAUUGUGGAGUCUGAAAAUGCUGGAUAUAAGCGGACAGUCGUCGUCUGGAUUCGUCUUCGGUAGCAACUACUGGACGGGAAACAGGCAACGGUGCACUCAACCUAGCCAGAAGCGAUUUUUACUAAUAUCAGACAAGCAUAUAAGAAACAAUUCCAUCUAUCGUAAUCCACCUGAAGAAUUCCCACCAUUUGAACUGAACUUCUUUAGCGCUCAUGUCCGGCAUAGUAGCACUAUAUGUACAAUAUCUCGUGGAGGACAUAACAGUGCUCGGAUUUUGUCUACCUGCGUCCUGCGGCGAAAACGAAGUAGGCACAAUACUAACGAAAAUGUUCGACGAUAGACUUCUUCUAAUCGGACAACUCUAUUCGACAGAGUUUAAGUUGAUCAGAAUCUUCAACUUGAAAGACGAUCAUACGUGGCUUCUCAGCGGGAAGAUGAUAACCAUCCUGUAUGUAAACGCGAUAAGAGGUCGACGGGUUCUAUUUGAAAUAAUUAAAUACUGAUGGGUAGGCACGUUAUACGAUGUCUUCGUUUACCAGAGGUAUUUGUAUAGAAACAAAUUGUUUCCUAAGAAGAACCUCAACACUAUUGAAGAGAAAGGAAGUCCGUCAGAGAUGAAGCCAAUCAGAGAUGAAGUUCUCAGCCUAUUUCAAUAUCAAAAAGAUAUUCAGUGUAGAAGACACCAGUUCAGGAAAUAUGUUACUAUUUCAUGGAUUAAAAUUCUUUGGAAUGAUAUGAAUCAUUUUUGCACAUUCGUUGUUCUACGUAACAAAUGUUCUAAGUAUGGCAAUCGUUAGUGGAAAUAAAUGAGAUGCUCAUAAAUUAAAAAUUUAUUACAAACUAAUAAUUUAUUACAGUUUUUUCCCUUCAAUUUCAUUAGUUUUUCAUUUUUUCUUUUUUGCUUAAUAAGCAUACUCAGGAAGAUUUGAUUUCUACAGAUAACAGAACUGAAGAGCUCAUAGUGUCUGCUAAUUUUGAAAGCCAAAUUAUUUCUAACGCGACAUUUGCUGUAGACACUUUCUUCUUCGUCAGCGGUUUUCUGUUGUCAUUUGCAUAUCUAAAGGGGCAAAUGGAAGGAGGAAGAGUAGUGUCGUUACGCAAAAAUGUAAUAAUUUUUAUCGUGGCAGUCAUCAGAAGAUACAUCAGAAGACUAACACUUGUAUACUUGAUUACAAUACUGCACUUCUCUUGGUACGAAAAGAUCUCGCUGUACUAUUUCGACGAGCCUAUGCAUGAACUAUGCUCGAAAUACUGGUGGAGAAACAUCCUUUAGAUCAAUAAUUUCUUCAAACGAAGCCACAUGGUAUCGUAAAUAAAUUUCUCUCGUCACCGUAUUGGAUCUAUAUAAACCUGCUGUAAUAAUGGUAGUUACUAUGGGUAGCAAUUACCCC